UACGUAGGGUGCGAGCGUUGUCCGGAAUUACUGGGCGUAAAGAGCUCGUAGGUGGUUUGUCGCGUUGUUCGUGAAAUCUCACGGCUUAACUGUGAGCGUGCGGGCGAUACGGGCAGACUAGAGUGAUGUAGGGGAGACUGGAAUUCCCGGUGUAGUGGUGAAAUGCGUAGAGAUCGGGAGGAACACCAGUGGCGAAGGCGGCCGGCUGGGGGUGACCUGACGCUGGAGGCGCGAAAGCGUGGGGAGCGAACCGG
rnacentral:rRNA from 1 species